AGCAUUACUUCUGUGCCCUGCCCUGGGGUCUCCCUGCCUUCAUUUGGGCUCCCCUGUCCACCCCUCCUACAGCAGCUGGAGGGACUGACUUACCGGGCAAACCCACAGUGGCCCUCCCAGCUUCACGCCUGUCCUGCAGGAUGAGGUCUGGGCCCCCUUAGCAGCUGCAAAGGGGCCUGCACAGACUUGCAGGCCGCCCCUCUCACCACCCUUUCCCCUUCCAGGAGACUCAGCAGCAAGUGCUUGCCCUGCCACACAGCAUCGGCUGCAUGCCUCAACCCUGGGCCUUGAACACCCCCGCUCCGCCUCCGCCUGACAGACCCUUUCCUGCUUUUUAAGACUCCACCUGUUCGAGCUCCUCUGUGCCAGCCCCGGCCUCGCCCCUGCCAGCCUUAGGCCAAGGCUGCGUGGGUAGCUGUCCAUACAGGUUACAUGCUGCACAUGACCCUCGGUCAGGGCUUGUCUUUUUCAUCUUUGUAUUAUCGGGGGCCAACACAUAGCCCAUAGCAGGUGCCUAAUCCAUAUUUAUUGAGCAAUUGAUGACUGAUGGGGCUGGGACAGAGAGAAUAAGACUGAGAAUAAGAAUGGCAGGGUGGGCGCAGUGGCUCAUGCCUGUAACCCCAGCACUUUGGGAGGCAGAGGUUGCAGUGAUGCUGAAAUCAUGCCACUGCACUUCAGCUUGGG
rnacentral:lncRNA from 1 species